rnacentral:rRNA from 1 species
AACGAACGCUGGCGGCAGGCCUAACACAUGCAAGUCGAGCGAGGACUUCGGUUCUAGCGGCGGACGGGUGAGUAACGCGUGGGAAUGUGCCCUUCUCUACGGAAUAGCCCUGGGAAACUGGGAGUAAUACCGUAUACGCCCUAUUGGGGAAAGAUUUAUCGGAGAAGGAUCAGCCCGCGUUGGAUUAGGUAGUUGGUGGGGUAAUGGCCUACCAAGCCGACGAUCCAUAGCUGGUGUGAGAGGAUGAUCAGCCACACUGGGACUGAGACACGGCCCAGACUCCUACGGAAGGCAGCAGUGGGGAAUCUUAUACAAUGGGGGCAACCCUAAUCUAGCCAUGCCGCGUGAGUCAUGAAGGCCUUAGGAUUGUAAAGCUCUUUCAGCUGGGAAGAUAAUGACGGUACCCGCAGAAGAAGCCCCGGCUAACUCCGUG